ACGAUGAGUGCUAAGUGUUGGGGGUCGAACCUCAGUGCUGAAGUUAACGCAUUAAGCACUCCGCCUGGGGAGUACGGUCGCAAGACUGAAACUCAAAGGAAUUGACGGGGGCCCGCACAAGCAGCGGAGCAUGUUGUUUAAUUCGAAGCAACGCGAAGAACCUUACCAGGUCUUGACAUCGAUGUAAUCCCCUAGAGAUAGGGAGUGUCUUCGGACAACAGAAGACAGGUGGUGCAUGGUUGUCGUCAGCUCGUGUCGUGAGAUGUUGGGUUAAGUCCCGCAACGAGCGCAACCCCUAUGGUCAGUUACUAACGUGUAAAGGCGAGGACUCUGACAAGACUGCCGGGGACAACUCGGAGGAAGGUGGGGACGACGUCAAAUCAUCAUGCCCCUUAUGACCUGGGCUACAAACGUGCUACAAUGGUGGUUACAAAGAGAAGCGAGCGUGUGAGCGUAAGCGGAUCUCAAAAAGGCCAUCUCAGUUCGGAUUGUGGGCUGCAACCCGCCCACAUGAAGUUGGA
rnacentral:rRNA from 1 species